CCUACGGGUGGCAGCAGUGAGGAAUAUUGGUCAAUGGACGAGAGUCUGAACCAGCCAAGUAGCGUGAAGGAUGACUGCCCUAUGGGUUGUAAACUUCUUUUAUAAAGGAAUAAAACGAGGCACGUGUGCCUUUUUGCAUGUACUUUAUGAAUAAGGAUCGGCUAACUCCGUGCCAGCAGCCGCGGUAAUACGGAGGAUCCGAGCGUUAUCCGGAUUUAUUGGGUUUAAAGGGAGCGUAGAUGGGUUGUUAAGUCAGUUGUGAAAGUUUGCGGCUCAACCGUAAAAUUGCAAUUGAUACUGGCAGUCGUGAGUACAGUUGAGGUAGGCGGAAUUCGUGGUGUAGCGGUGAAAUGCUUAGAUAUCACGAAGAACCCCGAUUGCGAAGGCAGCUUACUAAACUGCCACUGACAUUGAUGCUCGAAAGUGUGGGUAUCAAACAGGAUUAGAUACCCCAGUAGUC
rnacentral:rRNA from 1 species